GACGUAGGUGGCGAACGUUAUCCGGAAUUAUUGGGCGUAAAGGGUGCGUAGAUGGCCUGAUAAGUUAGCAGUGGGAAAUCGAGGCUCAACCUCGUGGAAGCUGGUAAUACUGUCAGGCUCGAGUGCAGGAGAGGUUAACGGAACUCCAUGUGGAGCGGUAAAAUGUGUAGAUAUAUGGAAAAACAUCAAUAACGGCGAAGGCAGUUAACUAGUCUGUUACUGACGUUGAGGCACGAAAGCGUGGGGAGCAAAACGG
rnacentral:rRNA from 1 species